GCACAUUGCACCUUCAAGCUAACCACUGCAUAAUAUUGCCCACACAUUAGGCAUGUACCUUUUAAUUACCUUGGGGAUAGUUUUUACCUUUCACUAAGAAAACCGAGGCUCUAUGGAUCGCGCUAACCUUCUCAAGGUCACAUAAUGAGACAGGGGUUAUUGUAUCCGGGAGCCUGACAGGUGCUCUUUUCACGGACACCGGCUGGGUCUCUCGGGAAGUUGCUGAUGAUGACAGCGAUGAGCUCACCUGACAGACUGCUCUUUCUCCCUCUUCGGAGACUCACUUCCACACCAGGAAGAACCCGGAGCAGUGACUCACAGUUCCCGGCAUCAGUGCCAGAGUGUGUGCUGCCGUUCUGACCGUGAGUGUGAUGAUCAUGCCAGGGAGUCAGAUGUCUGCUGGAUUUAGAAAAGGGCCGAAGGUCAUAAAGGGAAACAACAAACCUAAGGGCUGCCGGGAGUUCUGUAGCUCUUGCAGCAUCUCUUCCCCACCCUUCUUCCCAGCAGAGGAAGCUACCAGAGGAGGAAGGACAGCAAGGAGAGCCUAUCUGACGACGUGGAAGAAGGAAGCUUUUGCUCUGUGCCUUCUUGCUAUCAGCUUGUUAGCAAGUCCAUUCCUUCACUAGGAUCCCAGCACCUCUACUGAAGACCAGUUGAAACCUCCAGCCUUGUGGAUGGACUAAGGGGAUUCUGGAUUCAUGAAUUUUCCAUUUAUAGCAAGCCAUUGGAUUAGCCAGACCAUAUAGCCUGUAAAUUAUUCAAAUAAAUCCCCUUUCUAUAUGUUGA
ensembl:lncRNA